UGAGACGUUCGCGUUUCUGUCGCUGAUUGUCAUCGUCAUCAUCUUCCUCGCAGAUUUGGUGCCGAAGGCAUUCAGCCCCUUCGGGAGGAGUCUGGCUGUCUCGGCUGCCGACGUUUGGGAGAGGAACAAGGACCUGCUGGCUCGCGAUGCCUCUGGACGCGCUGGCCGCUCUUUAGAACCUGUUAUUGAAGUCCUGGAUUCCCUGGCAAAGGCUGCAAGGAAGUGGGAGGAGCCACAAGAAAAGGUCGCAACACAUCGAUCAUCGUAGGAUUAAAAAUAAGAAAAAGAAAAAACUGAAGAAAAUGAAAAACGAACUUUCCCACCGAAGAUAUAUAUAAAUCUUGCUUUUUACUCCCGCGUCUCUUUUCUCUAAGCCCGUAUAUGUUUCCGUGGAUGUUUUAUAUAUAGUUAACAAAAUUGUUAUCAUUUUAUUUUUGUAUUAAUGCUUAUACCUUUGGCGUUCCAGUGUAGGCCAAUUUGUGUACGUGUAUUUUUUUUAAAUCUUCCAAAGCUUUCUUAUUCAACUCCAUGUCAGAUUAUUUUUGUUUGUACAAAGUCCAUUGUUAUGCAAGUUUUUGCGUUGUAGGAUCUAUGCAAACGAAUUUUCGUUUGCAUGACAGAUUUCUGUGCCCUGCAAACUAAAUGUAUUCCCUAGCCGAACAAUGUUUCAGUUUCUCAGGGUUACAAUAAGAUGAAAUCCUAAGAA